GUGCUUACUUGAGCAGCACGGGUACUGAAAUUAAAAUGAUACAGAAGUUAACGUGGUCCCUAUGCAAGAAUGACACACAAAUCUGUGGAGCACACGUUU
ensembl:snRNA U6 U6 spliceosomal RNA